AAUGACUUCAAGAACGACGGCGACGGCGCCCAAGAAGAUGAUGAUUCCGGUGUAAGCUCGUUUCCAUUUUCCAUCUGGGUUCAAGAUAUCUAAUCCUUUAAAGACGUUGAUGAUGCUAAGAACAAUCACACUGUAUCCGAUAGAGUGAUGAGUUCCGAAGACGAAGAGGGUGAUUCCGAUGUUGCGAUGAGUGUUGUAUUCAACAGCGAGGGAAUCGCUGCCGAGUUUUAUACCGGUGGCCCAACCGGCGACACCGACGGCGUAGGCGGAGGCUUGACAACCAACGUGAAGGUAAAACCAAGCUGGAUCUGCUCCUUUGAAAACUUUCAAGUAUCUAGCGAAAAUUGCUCCCAUAGGCAUCAUAGUUCCCCAACUAACAGCGUUCAAAACUCCAUGAGUCUGAAAAAUUAAAACCCUUCAAUCAGACGAUGAAAUUUCACGAAAUCUUCAAAAGGGUUUCACCAAUAAGAACAAUCAACAGACCCAGAUCAGGAAAAAAAAAAUCCUAAUCGAACACUUACGUUUCUCUUCUUUUGAACGGUAUCCGAAGCUGCUGUGCUUGAUCCAGUAAGCAAAUCGAGGGUAUUUCUUGAAGCUUUGUUGGCAUCUGUUAUGGCAUGAGAAGCCGGAGAAUCUCCAUUCAAAGGGCCUUCUUGCCAUACUUGAUUAAUUGUGGUUAGAUUUUCUCGAAGAAUAAUGGUAGCAAAAAUGGUCAUUUCGUUAUUGACAUAAGUGGCUCUGAGUUGAGGAACUUCAAAGCUUAUGCUGCUUUCUUGCAGGGUUGGACCAGGCAAAACCACAUUGGAAGUGUAAGCACGAGCGAUUCCAGAGGAAUUUCUGUAAGCUACAAGAGCUUGAGAGCCAAUCAUGUUGAGACUUUGUGGGUUAAUAGCCCAAGCAAUCCAUUGAUUAGGACCGGUAGAAGGGCGUCUGAAAGCAAUUCUCAAGGUAUUAUUUGAUUGAAUUAAGGUCCAAUGAAGGAAAGAGUUGAGUACUGGAUGAUCUACACAAGCUGCAAAUACUUCGUUGUUGGUAAAUCCAUUGUAGCUUCUGCAAGUUUGAGCUGAGGCUGAGAGGCAUAAAGAGAAGAGGAUCAAAACAGAGAAAUAGCUUUGGAGCUUCAUUCCCAUGGUGGACUGAAUGGAUUUCAGGUAAUUGUUUUCAGUUUUGUUGUUGAGAUGUUGUUUCUGAGAUGGAGGGAAUAGGGAUUAUUGGUUGGGGGAGAAAGAAGGAAGAAAAAAGUGAGUAUUUAUAGGGUAUAAUUGAAGGGAAAGUUUCAUAAAUUUGUAUUCUUGAAGGGAUGUUUCUUUUCAACUAUGUGAAUUUGUAUUGUUCUUGUUUUGGGUUUGGGAAAGUCUUUGUUUCUUCUUGGUUGCUUCA